AAUCAACGCUGGCGGCGUGCCUCAGACAUGCAAGUCGAACGCGAAAGGUUCCUUCGGGAACCGAGUAGAGUGGCGCACGGGUGAGUAGCACGUAGGUAAUUUGCCUUUGGGUGGGGAAUAACUCAGGGAAACUUGAGCUAAUACCGCAUAAUGCAGCGGCUCGACAUCGAGACAGUUGUUAAAGCGGGGGAUCGCAAGACCUCGCGCCUAAAGAGAAGCCUGCGGCAGAUUAGCUAGUUGGUAGGGUAAUGGCCUACCAAGGCGACGAUCUGUAACCGGCCCGAGAGGGCGGUCGGGUCACACUGACACUGACAUACGGGUCAGACUCCUACGGGAGGCAGCAGUCGGGAAUUUUGGGCAAUGGGCGAAAGCCUGACCCAGCAACGCCGCGUGAAGGAUGAAA
rnacentral:rRNA from 1 species